CAUUAAUCACCGGACCUCAAGUAAAGUCCAUCAGUACCUUGGCAAAGUCUCUUCAUUGUUGUUUGUGGCAUCAGAAACAGUCAUUAACAAACCAGCUUAUUGUGGGCUCACCACAAUUGCUAUUGAAGAAUAUGGAAAAGAGUCAAGUGGAGAGAGUGAAUGCACAAGUUUCCUGAAAUGCCACUUGAGUCCAGGAGACACGGACAGUUAAAGUACUGCCAACGGACUGUUACUGCUCCACUUAGCAACCCAUGCAUUCUUUGGUAAAACCUGUGGAAAAUAAUGUAAA